rnacentral:tRNA from 1 species
AGAAGAGUGGCCGAAAUUAAGCCUUAGACUGUAAAUCUAAUUAUGAAGAUCUCUUCCUCUUCUA